AGAACUACAUAUAUCUGAAGUGGGGAAAGAUUUUAGAAAAGAGGAAAAUUUAUCAAAUGAUUGUAAUUCAAAUGACCAGAACAGAGGAAGGAUAUCCAAUGAUGUUUUGAUGGUUGAAGAAAGAUACUCUCCAACAUCCAGUGACCAAGUAACAAUACCCCCCCCCCCCC